UGCAACCCUAAAGCGUCCAUUUUGUAACUGGCUAUUGCUUGCUACAUUUCCCUUUCUUCCAGCCGCAUCAGCCAGAGGACUGAUCCUGCAUUUUGUCUGGACUUACAUCUUUGGUGUUCCUGUGACCCGGAGGCAUCACCCCUCUUGGUGACAACUGGCAGAAGGCACAAGGAUGCACAGAGUUACAAGGAUUCCCUGGGUCUGGUCUCUACAUAAUAAUGGCAACUGCUGUAGCUGCUGCAAGGAUUUUAUGAAAUCAUGAAUAUGAGGGGAGGUGAUCUGCUCCAUUAUCAGUCGGCGGUGAUAUGAUCCACAAGAUUCUUUCUGUGAAAGUCAGAGAAUCUUUGCACUAGAUAUUGCUGGCACUCCAGUAAAAUCUGAUUUUGACUUUA